AUUGAACGCUGGCGGCAUGCCUUACACAUGCAAGUCGAACGGCAGCACGGGUGCUUGCACCUGGUGGCGAGUGGCGAACGGGUGAGUAAUACAUCGGAACAUGUCCUGUAGUGGGGGAUAGCCCGGCGAAAGCCGGAUUAAUACCGCAUACGAUCUACGGAUGAAAGCGGGGGACCUUCGGGCCUCGCGCUAUAGGGUUGGCCGGUGGCGGAUUAGCUAGUGGGGGGGGUAAAGGCCUACCAAGGAGACGACAAGUAGCUGGUUUGAGAGGACGAACAGCCACACUGAGACUGAGAAACGGCCCAGACUCCUACGGGAGGCAGCAGUGGGGAAUUUUGGACAAUGGGGGAAACCCUGAUCCAGCAAUGCCGCGUGUGUGAAGAAGGCCUUCGGGUUGUAAAGCACUUUUGUCCGGAAAGAAAUCCUUGGUCCUAAUAUGGCCGGGGGAUGACGGUACCGGAAGAAUAAGCACCGGCUAACUACGUGCCAGCCGCCGCCGUAAUAC
rnacentral:rRNA from 1 species